rnacentral:rRNA from 1 species
GACGAACGCUGGCGGCGUGCUUAACACAUGCAAGUCGAACGGAAAGGCCCUGCUUUUGUGGGGUGCUCGAGUGGCGAACGGGUGAGUAACACGUGAGUAACCUGCCCUUGACUUUGGGAUAACUUCAGGAAACUGGGGCUAAUACCGGAUAGGAGCUCCUGCUGCAUGGUGGGGGUUGGAAAGUUUCGGCGGUUGGGGAUGGACUCGCGGCUUAUCAGCUUGUUGGUGGGGUAGUGGCUUACCAAGGCUUUGACGGGUAGCCGGCCUGAGAGGGUGACCGGCGAGAUUGGGACUGAGAUACGGCGCAGAGUAGUACGGGAGGCAGCAGUGGGGAAUAUUGCACAAUGGGCGGAAGCCUGAUGCAGCAACGCCGCGUGCGGGAUGACGGACUUCGGGUUGUAAACCGCUUUCGCCUGUGACGAAGCGUGAGUGACGGUAAUGGGUAAAGAAGCACCGGCUAACUACGUG